AAAUCUUAACUAAAUUUAAAUUGCAAAUUUAAAUAAGGACGUUAUGUCUAAGAUUUC
rnacentral:tRNA from 1 species